UCAUCAUGUCUCAGAAAUGGGCUCUCUGUCUCUCCCUCUUCCUCCCUUUCUCUGUCCGUCUCUCUCUCUCUCUCCCCCUUUUAGUCAAUGAAGUCUGGUUUAUUCUGAUGUCCUCCCUACUGCUAUUGGAAGGUAGAGAUAUUCAGAAGAUAUUGAAGGUGUGACCACAGACCAAUGCCCCGCCCCCUCAGAUUCACUACUUGAUGUUAGCACUAAUCCCAGUACAGAUUGGACUCAAUAGGUCAAUGGAAAUGAAAGAGAGAGACAGAAUGGGGACAUCAAAUUCAUUCUAUCAAAGGAUGUGGUAUCUUGUGAGGCCAGUCAUUCCCUGGCAGUAUGUGUCUUACUGGGUGUCUGGUCUAUGACUAUUGAGCUAUUGGGAUGGGUCUGUCCUGAG